UACGUAGGAGACGAGCGUUGUCCGGAGUUACUGGGCGUAAAGGGUGCGCAGGUGGCGGCGCGCGUGGGGGGUGAAAUCGCCCGGCUUAACUGGGCGGGGGCCUUCCAGACGGCGUGGCUUGAGCAGCGGAGGGGGACGUGGAAUUCCGGGUGGAGCGGUGAAAUGCGUAGAGAUCCGGAGGAACACCGACGGCGUAGGCAGCGCCCUGGCUGUGAAUAAAGCUGACACUGAGGCACGAAAGCCGGGGGAGCAAACAGG
rnacentral:rRNA from 1 species